AGUAAGAUGGCCGCCGAUGGUUUCCGGGCAACCGCCCGGAGCAACAGGGAACAUGGUGCGGCGCAACGCCCAGGCCAUGGCUGCCCCCGCAACUGUAAGCAGCGAGCGAAACCCGAAGCACCACUGGCCCCGGCCGGGAAGGUGGGUGAAGCAUUGACCUGCGAGCCAGGAGACCUGCCAUCCGUAACGGGCACGA
rnacentral:ncRNA from 2 species